AGCGAACGCUGGCGGCAGGCUUAACACAUGCAAGUCGAACGGUCCUUCGGGAUAGUGGCGGACGGGUGAGUAACACGUGGGAACGUACCCUUAGGUUCGGAACAACACAGGGAAACUUGUGCUAAUACCGGAUAAGCCCUUCGGGGGAAAGAUUUAUCGCCUUUGGAGCGGCCCGCGUCUGAUUAGCUUGUUGGUGAGGUAAUGGCUCACCAAGGCUACGAUCAGUAGCUGGUCUGAGAGGAUGGCCAGCCACACUGAGACUGAGACACGGCCCAGACUCCUACGGGAGGCAGCAGUGGGGAAUCUUGCGCAAUGGGCGAAAGCCUGACGCAGCCAUGCCGCGUGGAUGAUGAAGGUCUUAGGAUUGUAAAAUCCUUUCACCGGGGACGAUAAUGACGGUACCUGGAGAAGAGGCCCCGGCUAACUUCGUGCCAGCCGCCGCUGUAA
rnacentral:rRNA from 1 species